UGCGCCGAAAAUGUCCGGGGCUAAAACACAACACCGAAGCUUAGGAAUUCUAAUGAAUUGGUAGAGGAGCAUUGAAGACGGAACGAAGCCAUACCGAAAGGAAUGGUGGACUGUCUUGAAGAGAGAAUGCCGGAAUGAGUAGCGAGAUUGAAGUGAGAAUCUUCAAGGCCGAAUAUCUAAGGUUUCCAGGGUAAAGCUGAUCUGCCCUGGGUAAGUCGGGGCCUAAGGCGAGGUCGAAAGACGUAGCCGAUGGACAACAGGUUGAGAUUCCUGUACUGCUGUAUAACAGAACUGUGGGGACACAGGCAGAGAGCGUGAGCCGGGAAUGGAAAGACCGGUGCAAGCGAGGUACCUGUACAUUAGGCAAAUCCGGUGUACAAAGGGAAGACGUGAUGCGGACCGAAUUAAGAGUAGGGAAGUGUGUGAGCCAUGCGUCAAGAAAAGCCGCUAUUGUUUGUACAGUACCCGUACCGUAAACCGACACAGGUGGAUGAGGAGAGAAUCCUAAGGCCGACGGAAGAAGCAUUGUUAAGGAAUUCGGCAAAAUGACCCCGUAACUUCGGGAGAAGGGGUGCCUGCGAGAGCAGGCCGCAGAGAAUAGGCUCAAGCAACUGUUUAGCAAAAACACAGGUCUAUGCGAAACCGAAAGGUGAAGUAUAUGGGCUGACGCCUGCCCGGUGCUGGAAGGUUAAGAGGAGAGGUUAGCGCAAGCGAAGCUUUGAAUUUAAGCCCCAGUAAACGGCGGCCGUAACUAUAACGGUCCUAAGGUAGCGAAAUUCCUUGUCGGGUAAGUUCCGACCCGCACGAAAGGCGUAAUGAUUUGGGCACUGUCUCGACAAUGCACCCGGUGAAAUUGAAAUACCAGUGAAGAUGCUGGUUACCUGCGCCAGGACGGAAAGACCCCAUGGAGCUUUACUCUAGCUUGAUACUGGGGUUCGGUAUUGCAUGUACAGGAUAGGUGGGAGACUGAGAAGAUGUGUCGCCAGAUGCAUCAGAGUCGAUGUUGGGAUACCACCCCUGCAGUACUGGGCUUCUAACCUGCAGCCGUGACCCGGCUGGGGGACAAUGUCUGGUGGGGAGUUUGACUGGGGCGGUCGCCUCCGAAAGGGUAUCGGAGGCGCUCAAAGGUUCCCUCAGAAUGGUUGGAAACCAUUUGAAGAGUGCAAAGGCAGAAGGGAGCUUGACUGCGACACCGACGGGUGGAGCAGGUACGAAAGUAGGACUUAGUGAUCCGGUGGUAUAAAGUGGGAUUGCCAUCGCUCAACGGAUAAAAGCUACCCUGGGGAUAACAGGCUUAUCACUCCCAAGAGUUCACAUCGACGGAGUGGUUUGGCACCUCGAUGUCGGCUCAUCGCAUCCUGGGGCUGUAGUAGGUCCCAAGGGUUGGGCUGUUCGCCCAUUAAAGCGGUACGCGAGCUGGGUUCAGAACGUCGUGAGACAGUUCGGUCCCUAUCCGGCGUGGGCGUAGGAUAUCUGAGAGGAGCUGUCCUUAGUACGAGAGGACCGGGAUGGACUGACCUCUGGUGCACCGGUUGCAUUGCCAAAUGCAUAGCCGGGUAGCCAAGUCGGGACGGGAUAAACGCUGAAGGCAUCUAAGCGUGAAGCCCCCCUCAAGAUGAGAUAUCCCAUUCGAAAGAAGUAAGACCCCUUGAAGACGACGAGGUAGAUAGGGCAGAGGUGGAAGUGCAGUAAUGUAUGGAGCUGACUGUUACUAAUCGGUCGAGGGUUUGACCUG
rnacentral:rRNA from 1 species